CUCAGCUCCUCUUCAUUUCUUUUUCACGUUCUCCAGGGCAUUAUUAGGCUUUCUUUUUUUGUAUGCAUUUGAGAUUUCUAUUUCAUCUCAGUCUGGUUACAUCCAAGUUUUUAGCUAAAAGUUGCUGUCUUUUGUUUUGUGAUUUCUUCGAGUGGAGUUUGGUCUAUGGUUUGCACACUUCAGAAGCAGCUCCGUGUGCUUCAGCUUCUCUUCUCCUGGUCCACCUGUGACAAUCCCUUCCUUCCCACCCAGGCUGCUCAGACCUGUGCCUGAGCCCCGGGCUCUGCUCUGGCCCCAGCACAGGGGAAGUAUGAGGCCAGCAUUCCAUGAUUCUCCUGGAAAACACAAGUUCCCCAUGCCUCUCUGGAGGGAAGCCUGGCAGCCCUUUCUUCAGUUUCUGGGACAUUUCAGGCAGCUCUGCAUCACUGGAAAACACCAGAUGGGAUGGAGCGAGGCAAUUUUGCAGAAAGUGCUGUGAGACCGGCUUCCUCAGUGAUCUUUCCAGCUGGAAGCAGAGCGGCCAGAAAGCAUUCCUUUCUCAGCCCAGUUUCAUCGCCUCCAGAGCUACAGAUGGCUUCCCCAAGCACCUGAAGUCUGCAGUGCUUCCCUGGAUGGAGCAAGCUGCAAGCCGCAGAAACUCUUUUGUCUUUCCACAGUGCCACUCAGAACCCAGUUUCUUUCUGCCUUGAGAGUGAGAGCAAGGAGACGACACACAGUAAAAAGAGCCAGAAGGAGCAAAGAAGAUAAUCCCCUGGCUUCUGAGAGCUCACAUAUCAGCCAACAGAUUAAAUAUGAGAAUUGUAUUACCUGAAUGAGGACAGAAGGGCAAUGGACAAUCUCUAACAGAAAUGAAACACUUAAAUUAAGGAAAUGAAGUUCCUGUGGGAGGAUGUCAGUCACUACCAGCUGGCCAAGGACAGAUUUUAAACAAACUUUGGAAAUUUGGAAAUAAUAUGAGCAAUUUACUUUGGGUAGGCAAUUAACAAUGUAAACAUUUCAUUUACUUAUUAACUAUUAUUUACAAGAAACUGAGCUAGACAUUUAGAAUCAGAUCUUAAUGCAAGAUGCACACAGUGAGUGGAACUAGCCAAUUAAAAUUAAUGUAAUACAAUUUGUGGUACAGGUAUAUAUAAAUGAGAUUUCUAUGUAGGGAUUUGCCAGAAAUUUUACAAAAGACUUAAUGUUUGAAUUAGAUAUGAAAUUAUCAGGGGUGAUUUCCAAUUAGAUAUAGGUGUGGAACUUGGGACAUCUAAGCAGAGGAAAUAGCAUAUGCAAAUGCAUAGAAAAUAUGUCUGACUGUAGCUUAGAAGACAGAUUUAGAAAACCUCAAAAGAUGAUGAUAGAAAAGUCUGCUAGGACUUGGUUGUAAGAUACUGUUUUUUCUGUGCGAGAGGGUUUGGGAUUUGUCCAACAGGCAAUAGAGAACUAGCAGAGUUUAAAAGAACACAGCAUGCUGAUUAAAAAAGCAAAACAAAAUUCCAUAGAAUUCAUUCUUUUAUCAAUAUCAGUGAAGUUUCUGAAGUCUAGGUCAUGUUAUCUUCUCAAAACAGAGAGAAAAUUUGAGACAAUGGACACCGCCAAUUGUCCCAACCAGCCAGGUUUGGAUAAUCACAGAAUUCAAGAAUUCACAUAUAUGAUCUGGAGCCCAGUUGCUGAGUUGCUUUCCACAGGUAUUUUGUCAAUAAGAAAACAUUGCAAAUAUGACCAAUGAGUGGAGAAAGAAUCACUAACACACUUAAGGGAGAGAAUACGUGGAAAUAAACCCUAUAGAAAUCCAGAACAUGAAGGCCUUUAAGUGACUUCAGGGAGGAGGGAUGACCAAGGACCGAUUUUUACUGACCAACUGUCAAUUUGUAAUACUCCUUAAAAAACAGGCAAAACCAAAGCUAUAGCACAGAGUAGAAAUGAUUUGAUGAUGUAAUGCUUUUGCAUCUGAGCUUUUAAAGCUCUUAGAAAUCUUUUUAAGAAGAUUGAAGACUUCAAACAAAAGCCAGGCAGCCUCCGGAAUGGCCAAUUCUAAGUGGAAGACUAGAGUCCAGUCAUUCUCCAGGGAAAGGAACCUGAUUCCUCGGUGAGCCAGGCGCUGCUCUGCUUGGUCACUCUCAGAACAGAAGUCCAGGAGCAGCUCCAAGGCUUUCCUCAGGAUCUGGCCAUCAGGCCUCUCCCGAAUGAGUCCACCUCUCCCUCUGGAUCCCCAGAAAGAUGAUUAAAUGAGUCAUAAUUUAAGAAAGAAAAGGCUGGCAACUGGGACCUCAGCUUGAGGUCACGACUGUGUAUAAAGAAUGUGAGGAAAAGAAUCCAUCAUUCCAUUGAUUUCUUACAUCUUUCCCGUGGACUAGCAAUUUAAUGAAAAAUAGCCAAUUGUCCUGAAGGUGUUGCUCUUGGAAGGUGCCUGCAUACCAGGAAAGCCAUGAAUGCCGCAGGGACCUCAAGCAGACAAGACCCUGAAGGCAGGAGGUGCAAGAGAGCUGAGAAUCAUGCAGACUUCAGCGUUCCCACGUGCUCCCCAUCCCAGGGGAGAGAAAAAUUAAAAAAAAAAAAAAUUUCUUGACCUGGAGCUCCCUCUCUAGCUCUCCCUAGUAUCUUGCCAAUCCUUCCCACACUAAUUUCUUGAAAAGUCUUUCUGCUCUCUGUCCAUUCACUGCUCAGUGCACUUUACCGGAAGCGUUCAAAUCAGCUUACCAAUGACCUCCACAUUGCUAAAGCCAGUGAAGUUUUAAAAUUUCUUAUCUGACUGGACCUUUUUGUCUUACUUGGUAUUAUUCUUUCCUCCUUUUAAUGAUAAUAAUAAUAGAAUAAUAGCUAAUAUUACUGAGUAUUAAGUAUUUGCCACACAUUGUGCUAAACAUACAUUAAAACUCCACUUUUUUUCCUGAAAUGUAAAUUUGGCAUCUUCCUUGGUGAACAAACUAAGUUACAUGCUAUAUGGUGGCACGUGAGUGAAGAGUCCUCUUGGUGUGCUGCGUACAUAGGGACCAUGGAUCCUGCAGACCCUGUUGGAGAAUACAUCACUGAUCCCAAACCCCAUUUGCUGGUGGUACCAAGGCUCUGAUCUUAUCGCCCUCUCUGGCUGGGUGGUUUUGGGAAGGGACUAGAGCCCCCAGAGAAAGGCCUCAGAGAAGCAGAGACUAACUCAUCAGCAAUAAUAGAUGCCGGCAUGCUGUAUGAAACACCUACAACCUGAGAUUAUUUCAGUGACUGCCUGUCUUCCUUUUUCAUUCUGUUUCUCUCCACGAUAACUUUUGCUCUGAACUUUGUGCCACCGCACAGAGUACAGGUCAGCUAAGAACAGACUACCAGUUUAUACAUGACUUCAGUUCUAUUCUAGGAAGCAAAGGCCAUACGGAUAGUCUAGAGUAAGUGAAGAAGGCCCAAAGAAAGCAGAAAUCAAGUAGGUAUAUUGAUGUUGAAGGGCCACUGCUAGAAGGUAGCGAUUGAUGCAGCAUAAAUGCCAAACGACUGUGUUCUUUGGUCUGGCCCAGACACGCAGCCAGAGCCCUAAACCUCGGAGGCCAUGCUGCAACCACACACAGUUACCCACACGCUCCGAGGCCUCUCUGUGCCAUUAAAGGUGGUUUCUUUGUAGUUUUCCUUAGCAUGGAUAAUAACUUGCUAGUGUGUUUGUUAUAUUGUUUUCCAAGCUGCCACAUGUUUUCUCUCUCUUGACCUUUAAUGGCAUUUACUGGAAAUACCUUCAUGUCCAACUGAAGUAAAAUUUCAUCAGAUUUAUUUCUAUUUAAGGACAUUACUUAUUCAGAAUGAUAAUAUAUUCCUUCUCUAUAUUCAUGCAUUAAUGUAACCACAUUAUUUUUCUUCCUCAUUUCUUUUAAUAGCAGGGAAAUAGUGAAUUCAGGGAAAAUUACUCUGCAUAAAAUGCCAUGAGUCUUUUCCCUGGGCCUGGAGAUAUGAAUUUUACAAGAUUCCCCUCUGAGGAGUCAACAGCCGGAGCUCAGUAAACAGGUGGGUUCAAUUGAGAGAAAUUGAAGAAAAUUUCCAAGACCACUCAGCUGAGAAAAGGUAGAAUCAGGGGCUGGCCCCGUGGCCCAGUGGUUAAGUUCGCGCGCUCAGCUGCAGGCGGCCCAGUGUUUCGUGGUUCGAAUCCUGGGCGCGGACAGGGCACUGCUCAUCAAACCACGCUGAGGCAGCAUCCCACAUGCCACAACUAGAAGGACCCACAACGAAGAACAUACAACUAUAUACGGGGUCUUUGGGGAGAAAAAGGAAAAAAAAAAUAAAAUCUUAAAAAAAAAAACCAGGGUAGAAUCCGUGUUUACACUCGUGUCUAUCUUACUCUGAAGCUCUUGUUCUUUCUUUCACACAAUACUGCCUCUGUCUUCACAUCUCCAUAGCGGGUGUCUGAGUUUAAGAGCUCAUAGUGAACAGAACCUGUUGAACACAGCUACUGCCUUUGUGACCACAAUGUGAUUAUUAAAUGAAUUAGUUAAAGCAUGAAUGACAUUGCUCAUGACCAUUGAGUGAUUAUCAUACCUUUGAGCUUUGUGAAAAGAUUGCAGUCGUAUUCUCAAAUUUGAAUGAAAAAUUUGUCAACCACUUAGAAAUAAUAGCCCUGGGGUUAUCUUUUUGCACUAAGUCUUAAACUUGCUGCAUUUUGGAAUUACCUAGGGGGUUGCAAACAACGUGCUCAGGCCACAACCUGUACCAAUUAUUUGAGAAUCUCUAGGAAUGGGACCCAAGCAUCAGUAAUUUUUAAAGCACCCCAGCAGACUGCAGUGUGGAACCAAAUCUGAGAUGCAGUAACAGAGCAGUUUGUCUUUCAGUGCAACACGACGUGGCGUGCCCUUGGUAAGGGCCACAAGCUGAUAUAGGGUGGAGAUCUAUUCAGAGACAUUAGAGACCUGGAAACUAAAGAAUUUGGACAAAGUUGAUGUUUCUCAAAAUAUAAUCUGUGGCAUAUUUAGUCACAAUUCGUGACUCAAUAGACAUAUUAGUAAGAAAUAAAUAGGAGAAAAACAAGGCCCAUUGUCAAAUCUAUUUAGAAAAUGCUGGGUUAACCACACAGAUUUUUUUUUUGUUAUUGCUAUUUUUGUUGUUUUAACCUCAGGCCUUUUCA
rnacentral:lncRNA from 1 species